rnacentral:rRNA from 1 species
UACGUAGGGUGCAGGCGUUGUCCGGAAUUAUUGGGCGUAAAGAGCUCGUAGGCGGUCUGUUGCGUCGGCUGUGAAAACCCGAGGCUCAACCUCGGGCCUGCAGCCGAUACGGGCAGACUAGAGUUCGGCAGGGGAGACUGGAAUUCCUGGUGUAGCGGUGAAAUGCGCAGAUAUCAGGAGGAACACCAGCGGCGAAGGCGGCGCUCUGGGCUGGCACUGACGCUGAGGAGCGAAAGCGUGGGGAGCGAACAGG